rnacentral:rRNA from 1 species
CCUACGGGAGGCAGCAGUGAGGAAUAUUGGUCAAUGGGCGCUAGCCUGAACCAGCCAAGUAGCGUGAAGGAUGACUGCCCUAUGGGUUGUAAACUUCUUUUGUGUGGGAGUAGAGUGUAGGAUGUAUACCGUUUUGGAUUUACGUUAUGAGUAAGGAUAGGCUAACUCCGUGCCAGCAGCCGCGGUAAUACGGAGGAUCCGAGCGUUAUCCGGAUUUAUUGGGUUUAAAGGGAGCGUAGUCGGGUUGUUAAGUCAGUUGUGAAAGUUUGCGGCUCAACCGUAAAAUUGCAGUUGAUACUGGCAGCCUGGAGUACAGUAGAGGUAGGCGGAAUGCGUGGUGUAGCGGUGAAAUGCUUAGAGAUCACGAAGAAUUCCGAUUGCGAAGGCAGCCCACUAGACUGUGACUGACGCUGAUGUGCGAAAGUGUGGGUAUCAAACAGGAUUAGAUACCCUUGUAGUC